AUUUUAGACAGAGAAAAAUACAGAAAGAGAGAGAACAAGGAAGACGGUCGUGACCGUUCCGACGUCUAUAGAGUGAAUCAGGAGAAAGAGAGCAGCGAUAGAGGACACAGAUUAGAGAGAUGGAGAGAUAGGAGUGGCGGUGAAGGAGGAACAUGCUCGCUUGUAGUGAUGGCGUGGUGACUCUGCCAUGUAUCUAGCAGCGACGACGACGGUUUUCCCAUCACUGCAUGUGGUAGCAUGGUGACGUGGUGUGUUGGUGGCGGAGAGGAUGCCGAUUUUAAAUGAGGCGGGGGUUGCCGCUGGCUUCAUGGUGAGGAACUCUCUGAAGCUAGCACAUACUCCACCAAACACCCUAACACCACCGCCGCUUGACAGAUCUGAACGUGGAAGCGUUUGGGGUUACAGGCUUGCAAUGAUCUUCUUGGUAGUUUUGUGGUUGUUUACCAGACGUUGUGAUGUUCUCAAUUAGUAGUGUUUACCUUUCAGGAGUGGAUAGAUGCGUUAAAGAGCUUAAAAUGCGAGUUUUAUGGAGCUUGGAUGGAUGCUAGAAGUUGGCGGUGUUGGGAUUGAAGAAAUGGUGAAUUAAAUGAAGGAAACAAGAAAAAACUAACACUCAGCGCCGUAACCUACGGUACUUGGCCAUAGGUUACGACCCCAACCUUUGCAAAAAGCCUUCGCCGUAAGACAGAAGCCACCCGCCGUAAGGGAAAGCUGCCCGCCGUAACCUAAGUCCCUCUGCCGUAGGUUACGCCACCGACUGAUCCAAUUUUGUAACUUAUGCAUUAAAUUGUCAUUUCAUGGGUUUUUAUGGUGGCUCAUUAUAUGUUUUCGGUUACCACUUGGCUUGUGAACGAAAAUUGGAGCAUUCUUGGAGACUUGGGAGUAAAGAACACUUAUCUAAUCAUUAGUUUUUGUGCUUUGACCUUUAUGAACAAUAGAACUUUUGUUAUGAUGUUACUUCAAGCCAUGAGUGGCUAAACACUUGAUGAUUGUCCUGGAUUGAAGGUUUGGUUGAGACAUUUCAUGUUUGAUUUUUCUAAUUUCUAGAAUAACAAUCUUUAUCUUU